rnacentral:tRNA from 2 species
CAGAGGGUAGUUUAAUUUAGAAUUCUAGCUUUGGGAGCUAGUGGUGGGAGUUAAAAUCUCCUCUCUCUGA